rnacentral:rRNA from 1 species
CCUGAACGCUGGCGGCGUGGCUAAGACAUGCAAGUCGCACGGUGUAGCAAUACACAGUGGCGAACGGGUGAGUAAUGAAUCGCUAACGUACCCUGGACUCUGGGAUAGCUGCCCGAAAGGGCAGGUAAUACCAGAUGAUAUGUUUCUAUCGCAUGAUAGAGAUCUCAAAGGUCCGCCGGUCUGGGAGCGGGCGAUUUCGUAUCAGCUAGUGGUGAGGUAACGGCUCACCAAGGCGACGACGCGUAGCCGGACUGAGAGGUUGGCCGGCCACAUUGGGACUGAGACACUG